GUCGGGAAGAGGAAGAAAUGAGCAUCUUGGAGCAUUAGGCAUGGGGACAUGGAGGACGGCCUAAACUAGUGUUUCUCUAUACAACUAGGGUCCAACAUUUGUUUUGGAACUAUCCCGACACCUCCCAUGCCUAUUAUUCUUGUGUGCUCCUUCCUCUUCCUUUGGAUU
rfam:Triticum urartu cultivar G1812 contig1439239, whole genome shotgun sequence.